GUUUCGAUUUCAUAUUUGUAUCAAAGACUGAUUUUAAUCAAAUAAAAUCGAAAUUUAAUAUAUUGGUAUCGUAAUUUGGACUGGAUAUAAGGAUUAUUUAUAUUGAUUUUAAAUCUGGAAUAUUUUUCAUCUGAAUUGAUUUCAAUAUAUAUGCUCCUGACAUUUAAAUCUAUUUGUUAAAACAUGUAUGUGUAAUUAUGGCGUCCGGUGGAAAUAAUGCAAAGGCGAUUAUAUUUUAUGACAGUGAAGGCGCAAACGAAGCGUCUAAAACAGAGGCAGACAAAUUGAGGUUCUUCAUUGAAAAGAAUGGUGGAUACACAUGUCAAACUGACCAUGCAAUAAGAAUACCUGGAACCGAAGUUAUGAAUAACAUUCACAAUUCAAUUAAUCGUUAUGACAGAAUAAUAAUUCUUAUAACAGAUCAAUCUGCUUCAAAAGGAUGGUUCACAUUUGCAGUUUUGUCUGCCUUAGAAAACAUAAUUGUGGAAAAUUACAUGAGACUUUUGGUCGCAUACAAAGGAAAUCGACGUGAAGAUGUUGGGUUUCUGAAACCGGAUUGCUGUCGUUGACGCCCAAGACGUUUGUCGACCUCACUGAAUGGCAGGGAUAUGAAAGGCUUCUCAAACAACUGAAAACUCCAGUGUGUUUUGACGAAGAAUUACCAGCGGGAAACUUGCAUCUUGGCUUGGUUCAUUCCCACAUAUCCGGUUACAUGUGCUAUGUUGCUGAAGAGUUUGCGAACAACAAGAAUUGGUUGGAGAAAUGCAAUGGUUACAGAAAAGAACAUAUACUACUGAUUGGAAAAUUUCUGCUGGCUGUACCAAAAUCCUGCACUGUCCCACGGCAGCUUCCGUCAAAUUCAGCAGCAGGCAUUGUUAUUUCGAAUGUGGAUACAUUUGAGUUUAAGAGAAUACACGCGGGUAAAAACAGAUAUUAUGUUGUUACCAUCAACUAGAUAAAGCACGCGAACAACGAGUUGUACGUUUGUGCCCAGGUAACAACUACGAUAACUGCAAUAUCACAUCUUGCAAAGCAGCACCUUGGGAAAAUAAAUGUCGCUCUCGAGCACCAGCGUUUCUGUCAAUCAUACCAGCAGAUAAUCGAUGCGAAAGGAUGGAGUGACUUCUUGGAAAUCGUUCCAUGUGAAGGCAGCGACGGCAAACACUACCAAGAAGACUGGGGCAGAAACUUCUCUAAUAAGCUGGAGUUUUGUCCGAUGUUAAAAGGAUGAGUGUUUACAUAUCAUGUUUUGAUAUUGACGGAGAUUCUUAAGAAGAGAUCGAAAAAGAGCUAAAAAAACAUCAUAUGAACAUCAUACGACAUGAAAACACACCAGGAAGAUUCCUGCUCUCAGAUGGUGACAAUCGAGAAGGAUGGAUAAUAGUUAUUGUAUCGAAAGAAUCACUGAAAAGCGAACUGCUUUCUUUUAAUCUCAUGACAUGCCUGACUGCCGAUGUUGAUGACGGCAGAUUUAGGGUCAUGCUUGUAUUGCGCAGCGGUGUGAAUAUUUCAGAAGUACCAAGAUGUAUUCGUUGGGUAACAGUAUUCAGCGAAGAUGAGAAAUCAUACAAAAACUGGAUUGUAAAAACAGUUUCAGGAGAACCAGUAGAUAUUGGCAGGGCACUUCCAGCAGGGGAUGUUAUUCCAGGCUUAUGUUGGGCCUAUGUCUUGAACUACCUGAAGAUUGUGCUGACGACCAGCAGUAUUUAUAAAACGAUACAAGACUAUUUGACUGAAAAGAAGUUCAACUGUGACUGCACCGUAAACUAAUUGUGGUGUGGAUCAAGUCCUGUGAUAUGGAGAACACCAUAGACGUGGUUGCAAACAAAAUUGGUGGGCGACGCAAAAUAACUAACAGCGACCAGAUACAUGUUACAACUAAUAGCAUUAGUGGACAGAUUGGCAGACCAUUUGCUUUCAAUAUGUUCAGAUACAACGACGAGUCAAAUCCCGUAAAUCAAUAUGGGUAUGCAUGAGGUUACCGUGAAGCAGAAUGUUGCAGUUAUGUCAUUAUGAGAUGCUUCCUUGCUGAAUAUUGCAACCCGAUGCAAUGCGUCCAAACAAUUGAGAAAGGAUACGCUGGCAUCAGUGCAACCACAAAACAGGGAAUGGGAGAGUCGUUCAAGGAAAAGUUCAAAGAGAUCAUGUCUCGCAGAAAAAUGAUGAAACUCUUCUCGAACUUCAAAGUGUCAUUUAUCCUCUUUGAUGAUACAAAUCCACGAAAUCGUCUUAUGGACCUGUUGGAACAAGAGAUUUUUGAGCAGGAAUGCGAUGUUAUCACCAGAAACUAGUAGACACUGUACAUGGAACUGAAGAAGACCAGACUGUUACUCAGGAUCAACAUAAGAAAUUCAUCUGUGCAACUAAAUGACCAAAGACUGGCCUAUAUAAAUUUUCAUAUUCUUUUGCUUAUAAACACAUUUAUUAUAGCAAGUAUAUCAUGUUCUUUUGGAGCCACAUCGUCAUUUUACAUUUGCAAGGUAUGACUCUAUAAAUGCAUUUCAAUUUUAAUAAUACCAUUAUUUUUAGCUCACCUGAGCACAACGUGCUCAUGGUGAGCUUUUAUGAUCGCCUUUUGUCCGUCGUGCGUCGUCCAGUGUGCGUUCUGCGGCGUCAACGUUUGCCUUGUUGACUCUCUAGAGGCUACAUUUAUUGUCCAAUCUUCAUGAAAUUUGGUCAGAAGAUUUGUAUCAAUGAUAUCUUGGAUGAGUUCGCAAAUGGUCACGUUUGCUUGAAAAAACAUGGCUGCCAAGGGGCGGGGCUUUUUUCCUUAGAUGGCUAUAUAUGGCUAUAAUAAAAUCAUGUUAACACUCUUGAGGCCACAUUUAUUGUCUGAUCUUUAUGAAACUUGGUCAGAAGAUUCAUCCCAAUAAUAUCUUGGAUGAGUACGAAAAUGAUGCCGGUUUGUUGAAAAACAUGGCUGCCAGGGGACGGAGCAUUUUUCCUUAUAUGGCUAUAGUAAAACCUUGGUAACACUCUAGAGGCCACAUCUAUUUUCCGAUCUUCAUGAAACUUGCUCAGAAGAUUUGUCCCAAUGAUAUCUUGGAUGAGUUAAACAAUGGUAACCUUUGCUUGAAAAGCAUGGCUGCCGAGGGGAGGGGCAUUUUUCCUUAUAUGGCUUUGUAUUGCUAAAGUAAAAUAUUGUUAACACUCUAGAGGCCACAUUUAUUGUCCAAUCGUCAUGAAACUUAGUCAGAAGAUUCAUCCCAAUAAUAUCUUGGACGACUUCAAAAAUGAUGCCGGUUGGUUGAAAGACAUGGCCACCAUUGGGACGGGGCAUAUUUCCUUAUAUAGCUAAAGUAAAACGUUGUUAACACUCUAGAUGUCACCUUUAUUUUCUGAUCAUCAUGCAACUUGGUCAGAAGAUUUUACCAAAUUAUAACUUGGAUGCGUUCAAAAAUGGUUUUGGUUGCUUUAAAAACAUGGCCACCAGGGGCUGGUCAUUUUUCCUUAUAUCGCGAUACAUGUAUAUGGCUAUAGUAAAACCUUGUUAACACUCUAGAGGCAACAUUUAUUGUUCAAUCUUCAUGAAAUUUGGUUGGAAGAUUGGUCUCAAUGAUGUCUUGGACGAGUUUAAAAAUAAUUAUGUUUGCUUGAAAAAACAUGGCUUCCAAGGGGCGGGCCAUCUUUCCUUGUAUCACUAUAGUAAAAUCUUGUUAACACUAUAGAGGCCACAUUUACUGUCCGAUCGUCAUGAAACUUGUAAUAUCUUGGACGAGUCUAACAAUGAUGCUGCUUGAAUGAAUAGUAAAACCUUGUUUAAACUUUAGAGGCCAACGUUAUUUUCCGAUCUUCAUGAAACUUGAUCCGAAGAUUUGUCCAAAUAAUAUCUUGUUAUCUCAGGUUAGCGACAUUGGGCCUUUGAGGCCCUCUUGAUCAACGAAUUGAUCAAUUCAUUAAAUUGUGAUCGUAUCUUAUUUUACGUUUUACUUUAAACUCAAAGAGGGAUGCAACUUGUAUGGUCGAUAUUUAAAGUUUAUUAUGUAAAAUACAUUUGUCAUUGUAACAUUAUUAUUAACGCUGGGUAUAAACUACGGUUACUCUGAUAUUAAAAACGAAUAUUUAGUUAGAUAAUAUUUUCAUUAGUAAAGUGUGAUCUUUGUUUCUUUGUGACAUGGUUUAAAAAGUGUCUUGGUGAGGGUUUUGAAAAUAUGAUAUUUAAAAUAUCAUAUCAUGCAAAAUUAACAUAUAUACGUUAUACCCUGCUUACUUGGACAAUUGUUAGGAACAUAGAAUCAUGAAUGGAUAUUUUUUUCUGAAAAUGCGUGUAUUACUAACAUAACGUGUACUAUUAAUUGAUGAUUUUGUGUGGCGCAGUGGUCGCGUAGAAGUUUUUGCUUGUCUAUGUCUCGGGUACAAAUUUAAGGAAUACAAUAUUUCAUUAAAAAAGAAUAUGUUGGUAGGUUGUUAUUAUAAUUAUAAAAGACCGUUCUUAACAGUGCAUUUGUGUGGUUAAAUAAAAGUAAUUGCAUUAUGCAAAAGAACGAAAAACUGUGAGCAUGUAACUUUGACAGUUGUGUUAUAUAACGCGUUGUGUGAUAUUACGGGUAUUGUCUUAUGGACAGUAAAUAUUGGGUGACAAGGUAUGAAUUGCAUAAAAGCUGAAUAUGUUAAAAGUCUAAGCAAUAUGCUCUGUAAUGAUUUUGCAAGUUACGCUUAAUGUACACACACUUUAACUAAUGUUGACAUAUUUAAUUGUCAUCAAAGCUGCAGUUGUUUACUGAAAACUAUUAUAUUUUGUAUGAUAUUAAAUGGUUGUAUUGUUUGAUUUGCAUUUCAUUUGUAUAUAUAUUAUUUCAUAUAAAGGUUGCAUACUGCAUUUUGUAUAAUUAAAUAUAUUAUGGCAUAUUAGUAUAAACGUUCACAUUGCUAGGUUGGUAUCUCUGAUGCACGAAGAAACGAAUAUCUGGUAAUCAUCAAUGCCAAUCAAUAUAUAAUGUUAUUAUUAGUCCCCUACCAGUGAAACCGGAGAGGGACUUAUGGUUUGCGCUCUGUGUGUCUGUCAGUCAGUCUGUCACACUUUUCUGGAUCUUGCUAUAACUUUAAAAGAUCUUCAUAUUUUUUCAUGAAAAUUGAAACAUGGACAGAUGGCAAUAUGGCGAUUAUGCACGUCAUUUCAUUGUGUUCCUACGUAAAGAAUUAUGGUUGCUAUGGCAAAUAUUGCUGAAAUAUUGCUGAAAUUGGUGGAGUUUUACCUAUAUGGAAAUUUUAUUGCUUGGCAAUAGUCGUGUUCUUUGUAACUUGUAUGUGCAUUUGAAGAUUCAAGUAUAAUCUCGGGUUAUUGUACCACAUAACAAAAUAAUUGUCCACUUACAAAUGCUAUAUUCGUGUACGGUCAACGUCAGCAUUUACAGUCGAAGGUUAUAGUAUUCGUUCUCACGCUGAAACAUUACCAUGCCUUUAAGGAUUCUAAACGAAUGUUCGAUUAUACUUCCUAAUGCCCAUACAACAUGCAAAUCCGAUGCUUCAAAGGAAAAGAUCAAGGUCACAACUCAAGGUUAAGUUUUGUGAAUUAUGUUUUCUGCAACUGUCUCUGUAACAAGCGUACACUUCAUUUCCUGUGUAAGACCUUGUUCUCUUAACGUUGUAAUUAAUAUGUAAUUGUUAUUUGACUAAUAUAUGUGUGGCAAAGACGAGUAUACAAUGUUUGAACGCAAUAUACGCGGAUUGCAAACGCCGUCUAUAUGGCACUUAAAAUAGUGUGUGUCCUUAAAGUAUGAAAGUAUUGUUGUACUGUUAUGGUGUAGUGAACUAGACAAAGGCAGCGAACUAUGGUUGCCUUGCAUGUGUUGUUAAAUGAUACAGAGGUUUACGGUUAUUUGAUGCACCCUAUACAGAAAUGACGUUGUUGAGCUUGUAUACUUAAGAAUAGUUGUGAUUUAUUAUACUGGCAAGUACUUCAUGCCGUAUUUAUACUCCUGUAUGAUUUACAUUAAAGGCACGUGUUUUUUUUGCAUCAAUCGUUUCGCUUCACGAUCCAACGUAUUGCAGAACAAAAUAACUUGUUUUUCUUCUUUUGUAUACAUUGUACACAGUUUGAUAAUGUUACUUCGUUAUGAAUAUAAAACAAUCCAUCUUUUUUUUUCUUUUUUUUUAUUUAAUAGUGUUUGGUAUGUGUGUUUCUAUAUAUACUUUCCAUCAUGCCACAUGCAAACGUGGUUUCUGUUAUCUGGCACUGUUUCUUAUAGUUGCUUCUAUAUAAACAUGCAAUCAUUAUACUAUGUUAGCAUGAUGUUUUUAUGUAACACAAGUUGGCUUUAUUGCUUAUUUAUAAAUACAUCAGUCCACUAUUUUAAAACGAUAAGCUUCCAUUUUUGGUAUGGAUGUUUUUAUAUGCCUAAAUAAUUCCACUUUUUUUUAACGCAAUGCUUUAGCAUUUAACACUGUUUGUAAGUACAACAUCUUUAUUUAAUUAAACUUAUUCCACUAGUUUAACAUACAUUUUCCUGGAACACCGUUUGCUAGUGUUGCUUAUAUUUAUCGGCUGUUUUUAAUAUGAAUGUAAUAGCUCAAGGGCGUUUUGUCAAUAACCAACAAUACUUAUUACUUGAUUUAAAUACAAGGUAAAUUACAGUCACAUAGCUACACGACAUGUAAGCUUAAUUGAUGUUUCUAUUUAAAGCAUUGACUAACAUGACAUUCAUAUGGAAAUAAUAACGUGUUAUAUUGUACAACUCUUGCAUUAGGUUUUGAACACUUACGCAUAGA